CAAGGAAUGUGGAAACAAAUGUAGAAACAUAUGAGGAGUGCAAUUGGAUAACAACAAUUCAUGGGGAUGCUCUCGUAGUCAAAAACACAAUAUGAGACUAAUAAUCUUUAAUUGUGGAUAAUGAGAUGUGGGAUUCCAUGAUUGAGAGGGUGAAGUAUGAAUAUACAAGAAAGAAGAACGUCAAUUGUCUGAAU